GGGGAGUUAGUUUAUGGAGAUAAAACGUUAGACUUUCAAUCUUAAGAAACGGGUGCAAAUCCCGUACUCUCCACC
rnacentral:tRNA from 1 species